AUACUUACCUGGCAGGGGAGAUACCAUGAUCACAAAGGUGGUUUUUCCCAGGGCGAGGCUUAUCCAUUGCACUGCGGAUGUGCUGACCUCUGGGAUUUCCCCCAAUGUGGGAAACUCGACUGCAUAAUUUGUGGUAUGGGGGACUGCAUUCGCGCUCUCCCCUG
rnacentral:snRNA from 1 species